rnacentral:rRNA from 1 species
UUACGGGAGGCAGCAGUGGGGAAUCUUGCGCAAUGGGCGAAAGCCUGACGCAGCAACGCCGCGUGCGGGAUGAAGGCCUUCGGGUUGUAAACCGCUUUCAGCAGGGACGAAUCUGACUGUACCUGCAGAAGAAGCCCCGGCUAACUACGUGCCAGCAGCCGCGGUAAUACGUAGGGGGCAAGCGUUAUCCGGAUUCAUUGGGCGUAAAGCGCGCGUAGGCGGCUUGUUAAGUCAGGUGUGAAAACCGGGGGCUCAACCCGCGGCCUGCACCUGAAACUGGCAGGCUUGAGUCUGGUAGAGGGAAAUGGAAUUCCGAGUGUAGCGGUGAAAUGCGCAGAUAUUCGGAAGAACACCAGUGGCGAAGGCGGUUUCCUGGGCCACGACUGACGCUGAGGCGCGAAAGCUAGGGGAGCGAACAGGAUUAGAUACCCCGGUAGA